UACGGAGGGUGCAAGCGUUAUCCGGAUUCACUGGGUUUAAAGGGUGCGUAGGUGGGCAGGUAAGUCAGUGGUGAAAUCUCCGAGCUUAACUCGGAAACUGCCGUUGAUACUAUUUGUCUUGAAUAUUGUGGAGGUAAGCGGAAUAUGUCAUGUAGCGGUGAAAUGCAUAGAUAUUGUCAAGAACACCAAUUGCGAAGGCAGCUUACUAAAUUUAUAACUGACGCUGAGGCACGAAAGUGUGGGUAUCAAACAGG
rnacentral:rRNA from 1 species